rnacentral:rRNA from 1 species
UUAGAGUUUGAUCCUGGCUCAAGAUGAACGCUGGCGGCGUGCUUAACACAUGCAAGUCGAACGGGAUCCAUCAGGCUUUGCUUGGUGGUGAGAGUGGCGAACGGGUGAGUAAUGCGUGACCGACCUGCCCCAUACACCGGAAUAGCUCCUGGAAACGGGUGGUAAUGCCGGAUGCUCCCACUCCUCGCAUGGGGUGUCGGGAAAGAUUUCAUCGGUAUGGGAUGGGGUCGCGUCCUAUCAGGUAGUCGGCGGGGUAACGGCCCACCGAGCCUACGACGGGUAGCCGGCCUGAGAGGGCGACCGGCCACAUUGGGACUGAGAUACGGCCCAGACUCCUACGGGAGGCAGCAGUGGGGAAUAUUGCACAAUGGGCGCAAGCCUGAUGCAGCGACGCCGCGUGCGGGAUGACGGCCUUCGGGUUGUAAACCGCUUUUGAUCGGGAGCAAGCCUUCGGGUGAGUGUACCUUUCGAAUAAGCACCGGCUAACUACGUGCCAGCAGCCGCGGUAAUACGUAGGGUGCAAGCGUUAUCCGGAAUUAUUGGGCGUAAAGGGCUCGUAGGCGGUUCGUCGCGUCCGGUGUGAAAGUCCAUCGCUUAACGGUGGAUCUGCGCCGGGUACGGGCGGGCUGGAGUGCGGUAGGGGAGACUGGAAUUCCCGGUGUAACGGUGGAAUGUGUAGAUAUCGGGAAGAACACCAAUGGCGAAGGCAGGUCUCUGGGCCGUUACUGACGCUGAGGAGCGAAAGCGUGGGGAGCGAACAGGAUUAGCUACCCUGGUAGUCCACGCCGUAAACGGGGGAUUGCGGGAUGUGGGGCCCGUUCCACGGGUUCCGCGUCGGAGCUAACGCGUUAAGCAUCCCGCCUGGGGAGUACGGCCGCAAGGCUAAAACUCAAAGAAAUUGACGGGGGCCCGCACAAGCGGCGGAGCAUGCGGAUUAAUUCGAUGCAACGCGAAGAACCUUACCUGGGCUUGACAUGUUCCCGACAGCCGUAGAGAUAUGGCCUCCCUUCGGGGCGGGUUCACAGGUGGUGCAUGGUCGUCGUCAGCUCGUGUCGUGAGAUGUUGGGUUAAGUCCCGCAACGAGCGCAACCCUCGCCCUGUGUUGCCAGCACGUCAUGGUGGGAACUCACGGGGGACCGCCGGGGUCAACUCGGAGGAAGGUGGGGAUGACGUCAGAUCAUCAUGCCCCUUACGUCCAGGGCUUCACGCAUGCUACAAUGGCCGGUACAACGGGAUGCGACACGGCGACGUGGAGCGGAUCCCUGAAAACCGGUCUCAGUUCGGAUUGGAGUCUGCAACCCGACUCCAUGAAGGCGGAGUCGCUAGUAAUCGCGGAUCAGCAACGCCGCGGUGAAUGCGUUCCCGGGCCUUGCACACACGGCCC